UACGGAGGAUGCGAGCGUUAUCCGGAUUUAUUGGGUUUAAAGGGUGCGUAGGCGGGAUGCCAAGUCAGCGGUAAAAAUGCGGUGCCCAACGCCGUCGAGCCGUUGAAACUGGCGUUCUUGAGUGGGCGAGAAGUAUGCGGAAUGCGUGGUGUAGCGGUGAAAUGCAUAGAUAUCACGCAGAACUCCGAUCGCGAAGGCAGCAUACCGGCGCCCUACUGACGCUGAGGCACGAAAGCGUGGGGAGCAAACAGG
rnacentral:rRNA from 1 species